rnacentral:rRNA from 1 species
UUCCGGUUGAUCCUGCCGGAGGUCACUGCUAUUGGGGUUCGGCUAAGCCAUGCGAGCGGAGGGCGCGGUCGCAAGAUCGUGGCCCCGCACACGGCUCAGUAACACGUAGUCAACCUACCCUUGGGACGGGGACAACGCCGGGAAACUGGCGAUAAUCCCCGAUAGGUGAGGGAUGCUGGGAUGCUUCUUCGCUCAAAGCUCCGGCGCCCGAGGAUGGGACUGCGGCCUAUCAGGCUGUUGGUGGUGUGACGGACCACCAAACCUACGACGGGUACGGGCGAUGGGAGUCGGAGCCUGGAGAUGGGGACUGAGACAAGGCCCCAGGCCCUACGGGGCGCAGCAGGCGCGAAAACUCCGCAAUGCGCGCAAGCGUGACGGGGGAACCCCAAGUGCCGUUGGUCUUUUGAUCGACGGCUUUUCGGAAGUCCAAUAAGCUUCCGGAAUAAGGGCUGGGCAAGACUGGUGCCAGCCGCCGCGGUAACACCAGCAGCCCAAGUGGUGGCCGCGAUUAUUGGGCCUAAAGCGCUCGUAGCCGGAUCAGCAAGUCCUUUGUGAAAUCGGACCGCCCAACGGUUCGGCGUGCAAAGGAUACUGUUGGUCUUGAGACCGGGAGAGGUCGGAGGUACUCUUGGGGUAGCGGUGAAAUGCUGUAAUCCUGGGGGGACCACCAGUGGCGAAGGCGUCCGACCAGAACGGAUCUGACGGUGAGGGGCGAAGGCUAGGGGAGCGAACGGGAUUAGAUACCCCGGUAGUCCUAGCUGUAAAGCAUGCGGGCCAGGUGUCUAGCGCUCCUUGAGGGCGCUAUGUGCCGGAGGGAAGCCGUUAAGCCCGCCGCCUGGGAAGUACGGCCGCAAGGCUGAAACUUAAAGAAAUUGGCGGGGGAGCACCACAAGGGGUGGAACCUGCGGUUCAAUUGGAUUCAACGCCGGA